rnacentral:tRNA from 1 species
UCUAAAAUGACAGAAAUUGUAUAGGAUUUAAACCCCUAUUAGGAAGUCUACUCUUCUUUUAGAA